rnacentral:rRNA from 1 species
CAGAUGUGAAAGACCCGGGGCGUCAACCUCGGAAUAGCAUUUGAAACUAGGCAGACUAGAGUACUGUAGAGGGGGGUAGGAAUUUCAGGUGUAGCGGUGAAAUAGCGUAGAGAUCUGAAGGAAUACCGGUGGCGAAGGCGGCCCCCUCGGACAGAUACUGACACUCAGAUGCGAAAGCGUGGGGAGCAAACAGGAUUAGAUACCCUGGUAG